UUUAAGAGGUGAUUAAGUCAUGACGACAGAGCCUUCAUGAAUAAGAUUAGUGACCUUGCUAAAGAGGUUGAAGGAGGUUCCCAGGUCCCUUCUACCAUGUGAGGAUGCAGCAAGAGGCACCAUCUAUGAAGCAUCUGUGAGGCUUCACCAGAUACUAGAUCUGCUAGUGCCUGGUUUAUAGACUUCCCAGCCUCCAGAACUGUGGAAAAUAAAUUUAUGUUGUUUAAGCCACACUGUGCUACUUUGUUAUGGCAGCUCCAACAAACUAAUACAGCUGCUAUAGUGGAACAAAGCUACUGUCAGACCACAGGAAGGCAGAGAGGGCAUAUGGGGGAUAAGUUCCCUGGCUCUUCCUUCUCCUACUCCUGAUCUAAUUCUGGUGACCACCAUUGGCUCAACCUACCAGAAACCAGCCAACAAAGUAGUCUGCGUGUUUCCAUCGAUAAAGGUGGCUUCCCAGGCCUCAGAGCAAGACACAGAAGGGCAGGGAAUGGACCUGGGGGCAAAAGUGGAAGAACCAGGGCAUACACGGGAAGGUAGGGAGAAGGGUACCCAUCACUCAACUCCGACAAUUACCAAUAUUUUUCCAUUCUUGUUUCAUCUUUCUCUGAUUUUUUUCUGGAGUAUUUUAAGGCAAGUCCCAGAAACCAUAUUGUUUCACCUAAAAAUAGUUUAGUAUACAUCUAUAAUAAACAAGAACUGUUAAAAAUGGCAAUAAUGCCUUUAUCAUACCCAAUAAAAUUGACAGAAAUUCCUUAAAAAUGUGUCAUACUAUUCUCAAAUGUCCCCAUUGCUUCAAAAAUAUCUUUUCACA